rnacentral:rRNA from 1 species
CAGUAGCCGCGGUAAUACAGAGGGUGCGAGCGUUAAUCGGAUUUACUGGGCGUAAAGCGUGCGUAGGCGGCUAAUUGAGUCGGAUGUGAAAUCCCCGAGCUUAACUUGGGAAUUGCAUUCGAUACUGGUUAGCUAGAGUGUGGGAGAGGAUGGUAGAAUUCCAGGUGUAGCGGUGAAAUGCGUAGAGAUCUGGAGGAAUACCGAUGGCGAAGGCAGCCAUCUGGCCUAACACUGACGCUGAGGUACGAAAGCAUGGGGAGCAAACAGGAUUAGAUACCCGCGUAGUCCCUGUCUCUUAUAA